rnacentral:rRNA from 1 species
GUGGUAAUACCGGAUGCUCCGCUCCAUCGCAUGGUGGGGUGGGAAAUGCUUUUGCGGCAUGGGAUGGGGUCGCGUCCUAUCAGCUUGUUGGCGGGGUGAUGGCCCACCAAGGCGUUGACGGGUAGCCGGCCUGAGAGGGUGACCGGCCACAUUGGGACUGAGAUACGGCCCAGACUCCUACGGGAGGCAGCAGUGGGGAAUAUUGCACAAUGGGCGCAAGCCUGAUGCAGCGACGCCGCGUGCGGGAUGGAGGCCUUCGGGUUGUAAACCGCUUUUGUUCAAGGGCAAGGCACGGUUUCGGCCGUGUUGAGUGGAUUGUUCGAAUAAGCACCGGCUAACUACGUGCCAGCAGCCGCGGUAAUACGUAGGGUGCGAGCGUUAUCCGGAUUUAUUGGGCGUAAAGGGCUCGUAGGCGGUUCGUCGCGUCCGGUGUGAAAGUCCAUCGCCUAACGGUGGAUCUGCGCCGGGUACGGGCGGGCUGGAGUGCGGUAGGGGAGACUGGAAUUCCCGGUGUAACGGUGGAAUGUGUAGAUAUCGGAAAAGAACACCA